rnacentral:lncRNA from 1 species
GGAAGUGUUGCUCUCUUUCCCCUCGGCUCCUGCUCCAGCGGCAAGAUGUGAUCCACCAGCUAGGAGGGGCGCCAAUAAGGCGUCCGAUAAGUUCUGGAUGAGGCUUCUGUCUCGAAACUUCCACCCUGAGGGAUAGCAGGAUGAAGAGUGGAAAGGGCUGGAGACCUUCUCGUUCAUUACAUUCAUUCCAGAAGUAGAGGAACAGCACCUUGGACAUAAGCAUCCGAAAAUCAGUGUGGCUUUCUCUUCUGCCAUCUUUUCAAAAGUCAUGUGUCUUGACACUCCCACCGAGAAAAAUUCAUUGUUGUGCCUAGGGCACCAGCGGGGAAUCAAACCAUUCUCUAUCCUGGGUUUUCGUUCAGCUGAGGGAUCUGUUAAUAAGACACCACACCUUCUUCUCUGUUAACCGCCUUAUCCCUACCAGAUGAAGCCAGUGCGCAUCCAUGACUUCAAGUCCCAGCAACACUGGGGGCUGAGGGUGGGGCAGCAAUGGAGGCUGCGCACCAGUCACCCACCACCCAAGGCUGCAGCUGAACCGAUCGUCAUCCUUGUCCUCAGCGUCACAUCGCAUGGGCACUUCUGCCUUUCCAGGUUACCCUCCUAAACGACAAGAAUCGCUUCCUCAAAUGAGCAAUCUGCCUCAUCUCUAAGGUCUUCCUGCGCUUUGGUGGGUCUUUUACUUCAGAAGAAGACUGACUCACUUUACUGGGUCUGCUUCGAACAAGCACCUCUGACUGAGUUGACCUGGACCGGCUUGAUGCCUACUAUGCCAAGUCAUCUUCUGCAGGACAAAGGAUGAAACUCCAGAGCAAAGGAUCUCAUUUGCCUCACGAUGCCUACUUGCUGCAGAGCUGGACUCUGAAGCCUGACUGACUGAAUUAGUCUAAAGUCAGAACCUUGGGCGUGCUGCUCACGCACACUCAGAUGAGCUCUAUUUCAAAAGCUUUAGCAUACAGACACCUGAGCCAACUGUACAGUACUUGCAUAAUCCCAUAAGUUAAUUUUCUCAGUACCAGUUAUUGGUCAACUCAGAAAUGAUACAUCAAUAACGUUACAUAAACAAAUGUCCUUCAGCAUGCUGAGAACCCCAUUAACAUCUAACAGGCAGCUCCAGCCCUGUAUGAUUUAGCUCCCCUACCACAGUGCAUAUCACCCAUAAAACAGUCCUAGUCACAAGCAUAUUUCAAAUCCCAAACGUUUUGGGAGAUAUUUCAUAGUAUAAUUACAGCAGAAGAAAUAACGGCAUGUGUGAUGGAAAUUCACAAGUAAUAAGAUGUGUAUAUCUUUCUGUGUUCAUUGGCUUCGUCCUAAUUGGCUGCUUCUAAUACACGUUGCCACAGUCACACUACUUUAAAUACAUUUCCCAGUGUCAAGCCCAUCAUGUGUCUCCUUGUGGCUUUCUCCUUCAUUGAGUUGGAACAUAAUGAACGUUAUUGUGCCUCAGGUUUAUUAAAGAUAAAGGACUUAAUUUUUAUAUAAUAUAGGCUUUUCUCACAAACAGACUGCUUCCCAGAGCUGUGUGUAGUUUUAUGAGCCAGGCACAAUUGCUAGGAACCAUACAAGGUGGAUUAGAUUCAUUAGAGGCAUUAUGUCUGAUUUGAGAUUACAGAGACUCAACAAACACAUGACUGGCUGGGAGUUGAUCUACCUUACCUCCAGGCUGCAUUAUCACAUAAUAAAUGCUUUAUAAUACUUUUA